UUUUUGUUGGGAAUAUACCCGAUGUGAACCUGGAGAGGGACGACAGCCAGCGAGAGCACAUAAUCAGAGAAAUACAGGAGGUCAAUAUUAGCGGUUGAAUGCUGAAAUUAAUUUACUGAACAAUGCUUUAUGGGUGACUCACCAUCGAUGGUCUCGUGGUAGCCCUUGGUGAGGAACUGGAUGGCUUUGGCUGCGCGUAACGGGGUGCGCAACAGUCCCUCCCGGUCGGUGUCCUCCCCGAGAUGCCUCAGGAUGUCGGUGUAGGCGGCUUCCAGCGCCGGUAACCGGGACUCGUCCUCGGACUCUUUGCGGGAUGUCUCGUGGUGGCGGUGGACCGUGGACAUCUUGUCUGUGAUGCGGUCGCCGUUGUUGCUGUGAAACUCCUCCACGAUGUCGCCGACUUUUGUGCUCAUGGUGAAGGCGCGCUUGGACUCUGCUGAGGACCGAGAAUUAAACGAGGAUGAAGUUCCGUUGCCCUGCGGGUCUGGCUGGCUGAUUCGGGUGCCGGUA